UACGUAGGGGGCAAGCGUUGUCCGGAAUCAUUGGGCGUAAAGCGCGUGUAGGCGGCCAGAAAAGUCCGCUGUGAAAACUCGAGGCUCAACUUCGAGCUGUCGGUGGAAACUUUCUGGCUAGAGUCCGGAAGAGGAGAAUGGAAUUCCUGGUGUAGCGGUGAAAUGCGCAGAUAUCAGGAAGAACACCCGUGGCGAAGGUGGUUCUCUGGGACGGUACUGACGCUGAGACGCGAAAGCGUGGGGAGCGAACAGG
rnacentral:rRNA from 1 species